AUUGAACGCUGGCGGAAUGCUUUACACAUACAAGUCGAACGGCAGCACGGACUUCGGUCUGGUGGCGAGUGGCGAACGGGUGAGUAACAUAUCGGAACGUAUCCAAUAAUGGGGGAUAACGAGUCGAAAGAUUCGCUAAUACCGCAUACGCCCUACGGGGGAAAGCUGGGGACCUUCGGGCCUGGCGUUAAUGGAGCGGCCGAUAUCUGAUUAGCUAGUUGGUGAGGUAAAGGCUCACCAAGGCGACGAUCAGUAGCUGGUCUGAGAGGACGACCAGCCACACUGGAACUGAGACACGGUCCAGACUCCUACGGGAGGCAGCAGUGGGGAAUUUUGGACAAUGGGCUCAAGCCUGAUCCAGCCAUUCCGCGUGAGUGAAGAAGGCCUUCGGGUUGUAAAGCUCUUUCGCAAGGGAAGAAAACUUAGCCACUAACAUUGGUUGAGGUUGACGGUACCUUGAUAAGAAGCACCGGCUAACUACGUGCCAGCCGCCGCCGUAA
rnacentral:rRNA from 1 species